AGAUAAACCAAAGUGGUACAUGGCUCAUAACUCAAACAUUUCAUUUUCGGCAGCUGUUAAUUUUCUUGCCCAGGCUAAUUUGGAUUAUUCAAUCAUUUUCUUUUCUUUAAUGAAAAACUGCUUGUAGUUACUGGUGGGGACAAAGAGCUGCAAUUAUGGACCUUGGAAGAGACGGGGUUUCGCUGUGUUGGCCGGGCUGCUCUCCAGCUCCUAACCGCGAGUGACCUGCCAGCCUUGGCCUCCCGAGGUGCCGGGAUUGCAGACGGAGUCUGGUUCACUCAGUGCUCAAUGGUGCCCAGGCUGGAGUGCAGUGGCGUAAUCUCGGCUCGCUACAACCUCCACCUCCCAGCCGCCUGCCUUGGCCUCCCAAAGUGCCGAG
rnacentral:lncRNA from 1 species